rnacentral:telomerase_RNA from 1 species
AUCGCAGAAUUGGGCGGGUUAGUCCAUUAACCCUAACCCUUGUUUGGAAAACAGCAGUUUUUUGGCACAUUUUCUGUUGUUGUGUGCGCGUAUGAUUAAAAAAAAGUGUUGUGGUAACGCCGGUGACCCUCACCGUGCUGUUCUUGUUGGUCUACAUUGCGAGGCCAGAUGAGCGUGUGCGACCAUGGAGGAGGGAAAAAAGACGUCCCUUUCUCCGUGGUUUGACCGCGGCAGACUCGCAAGACAUGGGUGGCCAGGCAGUAAGUCCUCGCCUGCCCGGCCGUGGCACAGCCGGUUCUAGCUAUCCACACACCGGGUGCUCGGUGACUUCAGUACGGGUCCGAUUUCCUGCAUAUCGAAGUCUGUCGCUGUUUUUACAUGUACAGUAAACUGGCAUUGCUUCCACGUGUCUACAUCUGAACCUGUGGUGUUGACAAGAAGUAAGCCAAACAUUU